GGACGGAUAGCAUAUACGGUUAAUGCGCUGCACUGAUAACUUUAUCUCAAUUGUUCCGCCGCAUGAGAAGCGUGGUUCGAAUCCCGCUCUGUCCC